rnacentral:rRNA from 1 species
GUGGGGAAUCUUGCGCAAUGGGCGAAAGCCUGACGCAGCCAUGCCGCGUGGAUGAUGAAGGUCUUAGGAUUGUAAAAUCCUUUCACCGGUGAAGAUAAUGACUGUAGCCGGAGAAGAAGCCCCGGCUAACUUCGUGCCAGCAGCCGCGGUAAUACGAAGGGGGCUAGCGUUGCUCGGAAUUACUGGGCGUAAAGGGCGCGUAGGCGGACAGCUUAGUCAGAGGUGAAAGCCCAGGGCUCAACCUUGGAAUUGCCUUUGAUACUGGCUGUCUUGAGUUUGGGAGAGGUGAGUGGAACUCCGAGUGUAGAGGUGAAAUUCGUAGAUAUUCGGAAGAACACCAGUGGCGAAGGCGACUCACUGGCCCAAUACUGACGCUGAGGCGCGAAAGCGUGGGGAGCAAACAGGAUUAGAUACCCGUGUAGUCC